UAGUGAGUUUGAUCCUGGCUCAGGACGAACGCUGGCGGCGUGCUUAACGACGAUGCAAGUCGAGCGGAAAGGCCACUUCGGUGGUACUCGAGCGGCGAACGGGUGGGUAACACGUGAGUAAUCUGCCCCUCACUUCGGGAUAGCCACCGGAAACGGUGAUUAAUACCGGAUAUGACGUGCCCUCGCAUGGGGGUGUGUGGAAAGUUUUUUCGGUGGGGGAUGUGCUCGCGGCCUAUCAGCUUGAUGGUGGGGUAACUGGCCCACCAAGGCGACGAUGCAUAGCCGACCUGAGAGGGUGAUCGGCCACACUGGGGACUGAGACACGGCCCAGACUCCGUAC
rnacentral:rRNA from 1 species